rnacentral:rRNA from 1 species
ACCAUGCGAGUCUAUGUAGUAUACAAAGGCAGACGGCUCAGUAACGCGUAGCCCUUUAACCUAUGGACGGGAAUAACCUCGGGAAACUGAGUAUCCUGCCCGAUAGAACAUUAUGCCUGGAAUGGUUUAUGUUCCAAAUGAUUUAUCGCCGUAGGAUGGGACUGCGGCCUCUCAGUUUGUUGGUGAGGUAAUGGCCCACCAAGACUAUUACAGGUACGGGCUCUGAGAGGAGUGGCCCGGAGAUGGGUACUGAAACACGGAUCCAGGCCCUAUGGGGCGAAACAAGCGAGAAAACUUUGCAAUGUGCGAAAGCACGACAAGGUUAAUCCGAGUGGUUUCUGCUAAAGAAACCUUUUGUCUGUCCUAGAAACACCGAUGAAUAAGGGGUGGGCUAGUUCCGGUGUCAGCCGCCGCGGUAAAACCAUCACCUCAAGUGGUCAGGAUGAUUAUUGCGCCUAAAGCAUCCGUAACCUGCUCUGUUAGUUCUCAGGUUAGAACUGUACACUCAACGUGCUGGCUGUCCGGGUAUACUGCAGAACUCGGUAGUGGAAGAGGUAGACCGUACCUCGGUAGGAAAGAGGUAAAAUCCUUUGAUCUAUUGAUGACCACCUGUGAUGAAAGAGGUCUAA